CAGAAAAGGGACAGGAUGAGCAGCAAUAGUGUAAGCUUCCCCUGCAUUGCCUAUCCAAUGUGCCUCAAACCUG
rnacentral:sRNA from 1 species